rnacentral:rRNA from 1 species
UACGUAGGGACCAAGCGUUGUUCGGAUUUACUGGGCGUAAAGGGCGCGUAGGCGGGAUGGCAAGUCGGUCGUGAAAUCCCUCGGCUCAACUGAGGAUCGUCGAUCGAUACUGCCGUUCUUGAGGAUUGCAGAGGAGACUGGAAUUCCCGGUGUAGCGGUGAAAUGUGUAGAGAUCGGGAGGAACACCAGUGGCGAAGGCGGGUCUCUGGACAGUUCCUGACGCUGAGGCACGAAGGUCAGGGGAGCAAACGGG